rnacentral:rRNA from 1 species
GACGAACGCUGGCGGCGUGCUUAACACAUGCAAGUCGAACGGAAAGGCCCUGCUUUUGUGGGGUGCUCGAGUGGCGAACGGGUGAGUAACACGUGAGUAACCUGCCCUUGACUUUGGGAUAACUUCAGGAAACUGUGGCUAAUACCGGAUAGGAGCUCCUGCUGCAUGGUGGGGGUUGGAAAGUUUCGGCGGUUGGGGAUGGACUCGCGGCUUAUCAGCUUGUUGGUGGGGUAGUGGCUUACCAAGGCUUUGACGGGUAGCCGGCCUGAGAGGGUGACCGGCCACAUUGGGACUGAGAUACGGCCCAGACUCCUACGGGAGGCAGCAGUGGGGAAUAUUGCACGAUGGGCGGAAGCCUGAUGCAGCAACGCCGCGUGCGGGAUGACGGCCUUCGGGUUGUAAACCGCUUUCGCCUGUGACGAAGCGUGAGUGACGGUAAUGGGUAAAGAAGCACCGGCUAACUACGUG